AAAGGACUUGACGGUAUUUCGAACCCACCUAGAGGAGCCUGUCCUAUAAUCGACAAUACACGAUCCACCCAACCACCUUUUGCCCUAAGCAGCCUGUAUACCGCCGUCGCAAGCUUAGCCCAUGAGGGACAAGCACUCAGCACAAUAACUCGCUCCUGAGCUAGAACGUCAGGUCAAGGUGCAGCCGAUAAGGUGGCAGAGAUUGGCUACAUUUUCUACACUAUAGAAAUGGGUCACGGAGAGGCCUGUGAAACCAGGACUGUCAAAGACGGAUUUAGCAGUAAAUUAGGAGAAGAGUGCCUAAUUGAAGAUGGCCCCGAAAUAUGUACACACCGCCCGUCACCCUCCUCGAAUUAAACCAGAUUUUGCUACAUAACGCACAUAGAACCCGAUGAGAUGAGGAAAGUCGUAACAAGGUAAGCGUACCGGAAGGUGUGCUUGGAACAUCAAAAUGUAGCUUAAACCAAAGCAUUCUGCUUACACCUGAAACAUGUUUACUUAAAUAAACCAUUUUGAUUAACCCGCUCUAGCCCUAAAAAUUAACCAAAAUAAAAUUAACCACAC
rnacentral:rRNA from 1 species